AAUGAUUUCAACCCACCUCACAAUGCCCAAACUGUGUCCGAUUAUACAAGAAAGAGCAGCGUAAAAGCCCGAACACAUUAAAUGGGGAGGAGAUGGAGGAGGAGAAAAAGGAGGUCACCUCAAAACCAGACAUUGUUCAUGGAGGAUGAUUAAUUUGGGUGAAGGGGAGAGUUCUACACCCAACUCAAAAGUUUGUGUGGCAUCACUACAAUGCAAAUUUCUGUAGACCCUACAACCUGCAUAGACAUGAAUACACUCACACAGAUGAGAAGCUAUUCUGGUGCAAUCAGUGUAAUAUUGGCAUAAUCCAGAAGUAUCACCUUUUACAGCACAAAAUAACAUGCCAUGGGGCACAGUGAUGAAGCUAGCACAGAGGAAGAGCCUAAUUUCUGCUAUAAUAGAUCAAAGGAUAAAAGAGCUGAAAAGAAUUAACAUUCUUUUUUAUCAGUUAACAAAGCCAUACACAGAGAUUCCUGAAGACUUGUCAAACACUGUUAGUGAGAGCACUUGAGAAGAAGCUGCAUCCACAAAUCAAGACACAGAGGCAAGAGAGUUCCACUGGGAAGAAGCUUGUCACGACAGACUAGACACAUACCAACGUUUAAAGAAAAUAUCCC